AAUGAACGCUGGCGGCAGGCCUAAAACAUGCAAGUCGAACGCCUGUAGCAAUACAGGAGUGGCGCACGGGUGCGUAACACGUGGGAAUAUGCCUAUUGGUACGGAACAGCUCCGGGAAACUGGAAUUAAUACCGUAUGGUCCCUUCGGGGUAAAGAUUUACCGCCAAUAGAUUAGCCCGCGGUGGAUUAGCUAGUUGGUAGGGUAAUGGCCUACCAAGGCGACGAUCCAUAGCUGGUCUGGGAGGACGAUCAGCCACACUGGGACUGAGACACGGCCCAGACUCCUACGGGAGGCAGCAGUUAGGAAUAUUGGACAAUGGGCGCAAGCCUGAUCCAGCCAUGCCGCGUGAGUGAUGAAGGCCUUCGGGUUGUAAAACUCUUUAGCCGAUGAAUAUAAUGACUGUAGUCGGAAAAUAAGCCCCGGCUAACUUCGUGCCAGCAGCCGCGGUAA
rnacentral:rRNA from 1 species